rnacentral:rRNA from 1 species
GGAGUGCGGCAUGCCUACACGCGAUCGCCAAGAGAGGAAAAAUUCGGAUUUUAUGUCGAACGGGAGAGUAACACGUAAGCAACCUGCCUUUAAGACGAGGAUAACAAUUGGAAACCGUUGCUAAGACUGGAUAGGAAAUAAAAAGGCAUCUUUUUAUUUUUAAAAGACCUUUUUCGGAAGGUAUGCUUAAAGAGGGGCUUGCGUCACAUUAGUUAGUUGGCAGGGUAAAGGCCUACCAAGACUAUGAUGUGUAGCUGGACUGAGAGGUUGAACAGCCACAUUGGGACUGAGACACGGCCCAAACUCCUACGGGAGGCAGCAUUAGGGAAUUUUCGGCAAUGGAGGAAACUCUGACCGAGCAACGCGGCGUGAACGAUGAAGUAUUUCGGUAUGUAAAGUUCUUUUAUUGAAGAAGAAAAAUAGUGGAAAAACUAUCUUGACGAUAUUCAAUGAAUAAGCCCCGGCAAACUAUGUGCCAGCAGCCGCGGUAAUACAUAGGGGGCCAGCGUUAUCCGGGAAUUAUUGGGGCGUA